ensembl:lncRNA
CUUGCCCAGUAGCCCAUGUGAUCCAUCUCAUGUGGACAAUCCAUGACAGAUGUGCCAGAUGCUUAUAAACUCCAUCUUCUCAGAUGAGGCUAGGAGAACAGGACACCUCAUUGGAUUAUGUCGGUGUGAAGGGUAAACCUUGCCUUUGAGUGAGGUGGAACUAUACAAAACUAUCUAGAAAUUGCCUGCGGAGCAGGGCAGGUGGUAAAAACAUCUCUCAUAUCACACUGUGACUGCUAUUACUGAUGGUAACCGCUGAUUUUUUGAGUGCUAUGUUUCAUGCUCUAUAUUUAAUCUCACAGCCACCCUUUGACAUAGGUAUGUUCUUUCUCUGGUUUUACAUAUCAGGAAACUGAAAUGCAGAAAAGAUAAGGAAUACAAAGCUUUCACCACUAAUGAAUGCAGAAUCGGGCUUGUGACUUAACAGCUAACAUAUACACAUCAUCGUUCUUACUACUGGUGGUCAUGAAGACAAGCACUGGAAGAGGCAUAUUUAAAACUGAGCAAAACCAGGGGCAAGAAGGCACAUCCAGCCAGAAACUACGCACACCUCUUCAUGGAGAAGCACUAACUGGAUGGAGCAAACACAUAACUGUCGUCCAACACGGUAGGUGGCAAAUUGUGUUAAGUACAGAAGACACAGUUGAAUCGGGAGGUCCUGGCUAUAGGGGACGGGGACGCAGAGAUGGGACACAGUAUGGAGAAAAAGUUAAAGGGAGAGAGUGCUUUACAAGAUGAAAGAGAAAGGUCUGAGAGGUAAGGAAUCAGAGAGUGAGGAACCGAGAGUAGGAAAUGAGAGAAGUCCAUUGGGGGAGGGCAGACAAGAGAUCUGGGAGCAUCCAGAGGGACUCUUGGCAAAAAGCCUAGACGGUCAACACUGUAACUGUGCAGCAAGAUAACUGGUAACUAGACCCAAGAGCACAAAACCCAUAUUCUCUCUGGGUGGACUUACCACUCAUUUACCCCUCCCCCAACCCUUUCAGUAAAGAGCUGCUGAACCCUCAUAAAGGUCACUGGUAUUCUCCCAGGGAAUAGUGUGUGACAAGCUGUUCCCAACACAACAGCUCCAGGAGGGCAUCAACAAAUAGGCACCAGAAAAGGGGAGGGGGGGUACCACCCGGCUCAAGAAUACAGCCAUUCUUCCCAAUACCAUCACCACCACUCCCAUUGUCUAAGUAAGACUUAGUUGUUUUUUAAUUGUGAAAUUGAGAAUAGAUUCCAUUGUGAAUAAUGUACAUGUUAAAGAGCAACGGUAAAAUGAAUAUCCACGUAAUCUUUAGCCAACUUAAAAGACAAAACAUAACCAGGACUUUGUUUUGUUUUGUUUUUAAGUUUAUUUAUUUUUGAGAGAGAGAGAGAGAGCAGGAACAGGGGAAGGGCAGAGAGAAAGAGAGAGGGAAAGAAUCCCAAGCAGGCUCCACGCUGUCAGCACAGAGCCUGAUGUGGGGCUUGAUCCCACGAACUGUGAGAUCAUGACCUGAGCCGAAAGCAGGAGUCGGAGGAUUAACUGACUGAGCCACCCAGGCGCCUCUAGAUAACCAGAACUUUGGAUGCCACUGCUGUGGCCUGCAGAAGUUCUUUCCCAUGCCCCCCUUCAAUCACUGUUGUGAUGUUUAGUUAACCACAGUGCUGGUGUUCUUUGUAGCUUCAUCGUUCUCAUUAUCCUUUCACGAUAUAUUGCUGAG